rnacentral:rRNA from 1 species
UGGCGGCGUGCCUAACACAUGCAAGUCGAACGGAGCGAAAGAAGCUUGCUUCUGGCGCUUAGUGGCGGACGGGUGAGCAACACGUGAGCAACCUGCCUUCAGAGAGGAAUAAUGUCUGGAAACGGACACUAAUACCUCAUGACAUAUUUCUGUUGCAUGAUAGAGAUAUCAAAGGAGCAAUCCGCUGAAAGAUGGGCUCGCGUCUGAUUAGCCAGUUGGCGGGGUAACGGCCCACCAAAGCGACGAUCAGUAGCCGGACUGAGAGGUUGAACGGCCACAUUGGGACUGAGACACGGCCCAGACUCCUACGGGAGGCAGCAGUGGGGGAUAUUGCACAAUGGGGGAAACCCUGAUGCAGCAACGCCCGCGUGCAGGAUGACGGUCUUCGGAUUGUAAACUGUUGUCCUCUGUGACGAUAAUGACGGUAGCAGAGGAGGAAGCCACGGCUAACUACGUGCCAGCAGCGGC